GACGAACGCUGGCGGCGUGCCUAAUACAUGCAAGUAGAACGCUGAAGGAGGAGCUUGCUUCUCUGGAUGAGUUGCGAACGGGUGAGUAACGCGUAGGUAACCUGCCUGGUAGCGGGGGAUAACUAUUGGAAACGAUAGCUAAUACCGCAUAAUAGUAGAUGUUGCAUGACAUUUGCUUAAGAGGUGCAAUUGCAUCACUACCAGAUGGACCUGCGUUGUAUUAGCUAGUUGGUGGGGUAACGGCUCACCAAGGCGACGAUACAUAGCCGACCUGAGAGGGUGAUCGGCCACACUGGGACUGAGACACGGCCCAGACUCCUACGGGAGGCAGCAGUAGGGAAUCUUCGGCAAUGGACGGAAGUCUGACCGAGCAACGCCGCGUGAGUGAAGAAGGUUUUCGGAUCGUAAAGCUCUGUUGUAAGAGAAGAACGAGUGUGAGAGUGGAAAGUUCACACUGUGACGGUAGCUUACCAGAAAGGGACGGCUAACUACGUG
rnacentral:rRNA from 1 species